AACGAACGCUGGCGGCAUGCCUAACACAUGCAAGUCGAAUGAGACCUUCGGGUCUAGUGGCGCACGGGUGCGUAACGCGUGGGAACCUGCCCUUAGGUUCGGAAUAACUCCCCGAAAGGGGUGCUAAUACCGGAUAAUGUCUUCGGACCAAAGAUUUAUCGCCUUUGGAUGGGCCCGCGUUGGAUUAGCUAGUUGGUAGGGUAAAAGCCUACCAAGGCGACGAUCCAUAGCUGGUCUGAGAGGAUGAUCAGCCACACUGGGACUGAGACACGGCCCAGACUCCUACGGGAGGCAGCAGUGGGGAAUAUUGGACAAUGGGCGAAAGCCUGAUCCAGCAAUGCCGCGUGAGUGAUGAAGGCCUUAGGGUUGUAAAGCUCUUUUACCCGGGAUGAUAAUGACAGUACCGGGAGAAUAAGCGCCGGCUAACUCCGUG
rnacentral:rRNA from 1 species